UGGGGAAUAUUGGACAAUGGGCGAAAGCCUGAUCCAGCCAUGCCGCGUGUGUGAAGAAGGUCUUCGGAUUGUAAAGCACUUUAAGUUGGGAGGAAGGGCAUUAACCUAAUACGUUAGUGUUUUGACGUUACCGACAGAAUAAGCACCGGCUAACUCUGUGCCAGCAGCCGCGGUAAUACAGAGGGUGCAAGCGUUAAUCGGAAUUACUGGGCGUAAAACGCGCGUAGGUGGUUUGUUAAGUUGGAUGUGAAAUCCCCGGGCUCAACCUGGGAACUGCAUUCAAAACUGACUGACUAGAGUAUGGUAGAGGGUGGUGGAAUUUCCUGUGUAGCGGUGAAAUGCGUAGAUAUAGGAAGGAACACCAGUGGCGAAGGCGACCACCUGGACUAAUAUUGACACUGAGGUGCGAAAGCGUGGGGAGCAAACA
rnacentral:rRNA from 1 species